rnacentral:rRNA from 1 species
GAUGAACGCUGGCGGCGUGCCUAAUACAUGCAAGUCGAGCGAACGGACGAGAAGCUUGCUUCUCUGAUGUUAGCGGCGGACGGGUGAGUAACACGUGUAUACCCUCCCUAUCAGACUGGGAUCACUUCGGGACACCGGCGCUAAUACCGGAUAAUCUUUUGAACCGCAUUGUUCAUUAGUGAAAGACGGUCUUGCUGUCACUUAUAGAUGGUUCCGCGCUGCAUUAGCUAGUUGGUAAGGUAACGGCUUAGCAAGGCAACGAUGCAUAGCCGACCUGAGAGGGUGAUCGGCCACACUGGAACUGAGACACGGUCCAGACGCCUAAGGGAGGCAGCAGUAGGGAAUCGUACGCAAUGGGCGAAAGCCUGACGGAGCAACGGCGCGUGAGUGAUGAAGGUCUUCGGAUCGUAAAAAUCUGUUAUGAGGGAAGAACAGAUGUGUAAGUAACUGUGCACAGCUUGACGGUACCUAAUCAGAAAGCAACGGCUAACUACGUG